rnacentral:tRNA from 1 species
UCUAAUAUGGCAGAUAAAUGCAAUGAACUUAAGAUUCAUUUAUAAAGAAACUUCUUUUAUUAGAA